rnacentral:rRNA from 1 species
GGUCCAGACUUUGAUCCUGGCUCAGGACGAACGCUGGCGGCGUGCUUAACACAUGCAAGUCGAACGAGAGGAGAAGGAAGCUUGCUUCUUUCAAAUCUAGUGGCAAACGGGUGAGUAACACGUAAACAACCUGCCUUCAGGAUGGGGACAACAGACGGAAACGACUGCUAAUACCGAAUACGUUCCUUAGGUCGCAUGACUUUAGGAAGAAAGGGUGGCCUCUACUUGUAAGCUAUCGCCUGAAGAGGGGUUUGCGUCUGAUUAGGUAGUUGGUGAGGUAACGGCCCACCAAGCCGACGAUCAGUAGCCGGUCUGAGAGGAUGAACGGCCACACUGGAACUGAGACACGGUCCAGACUCCUACGGGAGGCAGCAGUGGGGAAUCUUCCGCAAUGGGCGAAAGCCUGACGGAGCGACGCCGCGUGAGUGAUGACGGCCUUCGGGUUGUAAAGCUCUGUGAUCGGGGACGAACGGUCAGCAGACGAAUACUCUGCUGAAGUGACGGUACCCGAAUAGCAAGCCACGGCUAACUACGUGCCAGCAGCCGCGGUAAUACGUAGGUGGCAAGCGUUGUCCGGAAUUAUUGGGCGUAAAGCGCGCGCAGGCGGCUUCUUAAGUCCAUCUUAAAAGUGCGGGGCUUAACCCCGUGAUGGGAUGGAAACUGAGAGGCUGGAGUAUCGGAGAGGAAAGUGGAAUUCCUAGUGUAGCGGUGAAAUGCGUAGAGAUUAGGAAGAACACCGGUGGCG